CUCCUGACCUCAAAUGAUCCAUCCAUCUCAGCCUCCCAAAAUGCUGGGAUUACAGGCAUGAGCCACCGUGCUAGGCCAGCACCUUGGAUUUUUAACCACCAUCCUAGAUCAGUAAGUUUAAAUUUCUCUCCAUAUUAAAAUUUUCCUUCCUCAUAUUUAUUAACACAUUACUAUUUGAUUAAUACAAAUUAUUUGUUAAUACAAAUACAUUCUAUUUGAUUCACGUUUUGAAGCAAAAUUCCUGAUAAUUUUAAAAUUGUGAGAGUUAUUUCUUUCUAUGCAUCUUAUUGCUAAGGUCAUCUUAGCUGAUAAUUAAUUGGACAAUAUGGUGGUAAAUCCAUACUGGUCUUUGACUCUGAAAACAGUCUUUCAAAUUCCACUGGUCCUUUCCACUAUUUUGACACGACUUUAAGUUGUUACCCAGACUCUUCUGAGGGCAAAGAAUAUGUGUGUGCAUAUAAAUGGCCUAACAAAACACACCACUCUGUCUGUAGCAACAGGAAGUCCCCCAAGAGGACAAUGUGAAGAGCUGCGGUUGCUGCUCUAGGGAGAAGCUUGUGGGCUUGGGCAUAAAUAAUAUACAACAGCCUGAGCACUGUGGCUCAUGCCUGUAAUACCAGCACUUUGGGAGACUGAGGCAGGCGGAUCACCUGAGAUCAGGAGUUCAAGACCAGCCUGGCCAACACGGGUCCCGCUCUGUCAGCUGGGCUGGAGUACAGCAGUGCGAUCACCGCUCACUGUAGCUGCAACGUCCAGGUCAAGCAAUCCUCCCAUUUCAGCCUCUCCAGUAGCUAGAACUACAGGCAUGUGCCACCAUGCAUGGC